AGAGUUUGAUCCUGGCUCAGAACGAACGCUGGCGGCGCGUUUUAAGCAUGCAAGUCGAGCGGCAAGGGCCUUCGGGCCCCUAGAGCGGCGGACGGGUGAGUAACACGUGGACAAUCUGCCCCCCGGACCGGGAUAGCCCAGGGAAACCUGGAUUAAUACCGGAUGAGAGCGUCGGCGCACAAGCGUCGGCGGGGAAAGGCGCUGCGGCGCCGCCGGGGGAUGAGUCUGCGGCCCAUUAGCUGGAUGGCGGGGUAAAGGCCCACCAUGGCGACGAUGGGUAGCCGGCCUGAGAGGGUGAUCGGCCACAUUGGAACUGAGACACGGUCCAGACUCCUACGGGAGGCAGCAGCUAAGAAUCUUCCGCAAUGGGCGAAAGCCUGACGGAGCGACGCCGCGUGAACGAUGAAGGCCGUGAGGUUGUAAAGUUCUUUUCGGGAGGGAGAACAACCGUGGCAGGGAAUGGCCGCGGGAUGACGUGAAUCCCGGAAUAAGCCCCGGCUAACUACGUGCCGGCAGCCGCGGUAACACGUAGGGGGCGAGCGUUGUUCGGAAUCAUUGGGCGUAAAGGGCGUGCAGGCGGCCCUGCAAGUCCGGCGUGAAAGACCCCGGCCCAACCGGGGGGACGCGCUGGAACUGCAGGGCUUGAAUACAGGAGGGGAUGCCGGAAUUCCAGGUGUAGGGGUGAAAUCUGUAGAUAUCU
rnacentral:rRNA from 1 species